GGCGCCAAUUGUUUGUACCGAGGUUGUAACAAUAAAUAACUAAGGGGUUUGGGGAGAACGGAGUAACUUCUUUAUUAAUGACGAACGGAAAGACAGUAAUUAACAGAACGGAAAACCGUAAGUACAGAACGGAGAACCGAAAGUACAGGUCAGAAAACUAAUAUUAAUGGUCGGAAAACCUGAAAAUACAGAACGAAAAACCAGAAAGUAAGAGAUAAAGAGCUAGGCAGCAAUUCUCUCUUAAAUUCUCAGAGUGGUGACUUAGGUUCUCCAAUCCCUUCUUAGUAGUGGAUCUCCUCUUAUUUAUAGGCAAGGAGCUGAUCUAGGGUUCUCUUAGUCUCUCUUGCGAUAUCUCCGUUUUGCCCUUCUGAAUUUAUCGGGCUGGGCCGAGCCGUGAUGGGCCGAGCCGUGAUGGCCGAGCUGUGAUGGGCCGAGCAGUCAUUUUGAUGGGCCGUUGUUCUGAUGGGCCGUUCUUCCUUGUUAGGAGCUUUAUUGACUUGUUCUAUUUGUGUUUGGGCCGAAUUGGGCAUGGAGGGCAAAGCCCGUAUCCCACACCUCUAUAAACUCAAACAUUUUACCCAAAAUACCUUAAAAAGACCUUAAAAUUAGCAAAAAUUGGGUCUAUGAUGGUUUCACCUGUUUGAUUGUCGAUCCAUGAUUCUAGUGUAUUUUGCAUGACUUCUGCUUAGACUCUGUUGAAAGGUUUCUCUUAGAUUUUGUCAUGAUGGUGUGACUUGACUGUUUUACUUUCUCAGGAGAAUGGGGUCAGAGGGAAACAUGAAGAACUUGGUUGU
rnacentral:sRNA from 1 species